AUGAGGUGGAGCCCAGGAGGCCGCUGUUCGGCUGGCGCGGAGUCAGCGAGUGUGGGCAGGGCAGGGCGGCAGGGGCUGGGCAGUGUGGGCACCGCCACCAAGAUUUUAAGAACUCCAGCUUUGACCGUGAGACAGGAACCCCCAUGAGAUAGUCAGUGGAGGGAUGACAAGCUGUGGGACCAGGAUUUUAUUCUUAAAUAAAUGCUCAGCCUCAGGCCUGGUUAGGCAGACAGCAGAAGAAGGCAGACCGCAGGCCCCUUGUCCGUGGGAGCAGUGGGAUGGCCCAGGGAGGCAGAGACUCCGAGAAGGUGACGCAGAAGGAGCACCAUGCCAUCAAGCCACCAGCGUCCCUGUGCCCGAGACCAGCAGGUCCGCCCCGUGUGCGCGCACGUCUGCCCCGCGAUGCGUUUACCGGGAGAACUCCGGGAGCGGCGUGAGGUGACACGCUCACGAGUUCGCCCGUCCACUGCUCAGUGAGAUUCAUGCUUAGCGUAUUCAUAAACAUCCUGAGAGAGAGAGUUCUUCGGGCAGAA
rnacentral:lncRNA from 1 species